rnacentral:rRNA from 1 species
UGGAUCCAGACUUUGAUCCUGGCUCAGGACGAACGCUGGCGGCGUGCCUAACACAUGCAAGUCGAACGGAGUACCCAUGACAGAGACUUCGGUUGAUGGAUUGGACUACUUAGUGGCGGACGGGUGAGUAACGCGUGAGCAACCUGCCUUACAGAGGGGGACAACAGUUGGAAACGACUGCUAAUACCGCAUAACAUAGCGGAGCCGCAUGACUCUGCUAUCAAAGAUUUAUCGCUGUAAGAUGGGCUCGCGUAUGAUUAGAUAGUUGGUGAGGUAACGGCCCACCAAGUCGACGAUCAUUAGCCGGACUGAGAGGUUGAACGGCCACAUUGGGACUGAGAUACGGCCCAGACUCCUACGGGAGGCAGCAGUGGGGAAUAUUGCGCAAUGGGGGCAACCCUGACGCAGCAACGCCGCGUGAAGGAUGAAGGUUUUCGGAUUGUAAACUUCUUUUGUCAAGGACGAAGCCAGUGACGGUACUUGACGAAUAAGCCACGGCUAACUACGUGCCAGCAGCCGCGGUAAUACGUAGGUGGCAAGCGUUGUCCGGAUUUACUGGGUGUAAAGGGCGAGUAGGCGGGUUUGCAAGUCAGAUGUGAAAUACCGGGGCUUAACCCCGGGGCUGCAUUUGAAACUGUAGAUCUUGAGUGAUGGAGAGGCAGGCGGAAUUCCCGGUGUAGCGAUGGAAUGCGUAGAUAUCGGGAGGAACACCAGUGGCGAAGGCGGCCUGCUGGACAUUAACUGACGCUGAGGAGCGAAAGCGUGGGGAGCAAACAGGAUUAGAUACCCUGGUAGUCCACGCCGUAAACGAUGGAUACUAGGUGUGGGAGGUAUUGACCCCUUCCGCGCCGGAGUAAACACAAUAAGUAUCCCACCUGGGGAGUACGGCCGCAAGGUUGCAACUCAAAUGAAUUGACGGA